AGAGUUUGAUCAUGGCUCAGAACGAACGCUGGCGGCGUGGAUAAGACAUGCAAGUCGAGCGCUGAUUUCAAGGUAGCAAUAUUUUGAAGUCGGAGCGGCGCAAGGGUGCGUAACACGUGGGUAAUCUGCCAUGAAGUUUGGGAUAACUCGCUGAAAGGCGAGCUAAUACCGGAUGUGACAACUGAAAGGCAUCUUUUGGUUGUCAAGGCUGGGGACCGUAAGGCCUGGCGCUUCUUGAUGAGCCCGCGGCCUAUCAGCUAGUUGGUGAGGUAACGGCUCACCAAGGCUAAGACGGGUAGCUGGUCUGAGAGGACGACCAGCCACACUGGAACUGAAACACGGUCCAGACACCUACGGGUGGCAGCAGUCGAGAAUUUUUCACAAUGGGCGCAAGCCUGAUGGAGCGACGCCGCGUGGGGGAUGAAUGGCUUCGGCCCGUAAACCCCUGUCAUUUGCGAUCAAACCUUAUUAUUUAAAAGAUGAUGAGCUGAUAGUAGCGAAAGAGGAAGGGACGGCUAACUCUGUGCCAGCAGCCGCGGUAAUACAGAGGUCCCAAGCGUUGUUCGGAUUCACUGGGCGUAAAGGGUGCGUAGGUGGUCAGGUAAGUCGGAUGUGAAAUCUCGGAGCUUAACUCCGAAACUGCAUUGGAAACUACCUGGCUCGAGGAAUGGAGGGGGGACUGGAAUUCUCGGUGUAGCAGUGAAAUGCGUAGAUAUCGAGAGGAACACCAGUGGCGAAGGCGAGUCCCUGGACAUCUCCUGACACUGAGGCACGAAAGCUAGGGGAGCAAACAGGAUUAGAUACCCUAGUAGUCC
rnacentral:rRNA from 1 species